UACGUAGGGUGCAAGCGUUAAUCGGAAUUACUGGGCGUAAAGCGUGCGCAGGCGGUUCUUUAAAGCAGAUGUGAAAUCCCCGGGCUCAACCUGGGAACUGCAUUUGUGACUGUAGAGCUGGAGUACGGCAGAGGGGGAUGGAAUUCCGCGUGUAGCAGUGAAAUGCGUAGAUAUGCGGAGGAACACCGAUGGCGAAGGCAAUCCCCUGGGCCUGUACUGACGCUCAUGCACGAAAGCGUGGGGAGCAAACAGG
rnacentral:rRNA from 1 species